rnacentral:rRNA from 1 species
AGGCUUUGAUCCUGGCUCAGGAUGACGCUAGCGGCAGGCCUAAUACAUGCAAGUCGGACGGUAUAGAUUCUUUCGGGGAUCUAGGGAAACCCGGAUUAAUACCGCAUGGUACCAUUAGAGGGCAUCUGAAAAUGGUUAAAGAUUUAUCGGUAUAAGAUGGGCAUGCGUAGGAUUAGCUAGUUGGCGGGGUAACGGCCCACCAAGGCGACGAUCCUUAGGGGUUCUGAGAGGAAGGUCCCCCACACUGGCACUGAGAUACGGGCCAGACUCCUACGGGAGGCAGCAGUAGGGAAUAUUGGGCAAUGGUCGGAAGACUGACCCAGCCAUGCCGCGUGCAGGAAGAAGGCGUUAUGCGUUGUAAACUGCUUUUAUACGGGAAGAAAAAGCAACUGCGGUGUAAAUGCCGGUUACCGUUAGUAAUGCCACCGGGGCGUAAAUCGCGAU